UGAAAAAGAAGUCACAAUCACACACAAAAUGAUCUUUGGGUUUAAAUAAGGUUAAGUUCAGGGUAUGGGAAACUGCUCUAAAGAUGAGAGUCAGCUACUUGGAUUAACAAAGGGUGGUGAAGUGAAUAAGAUAAUCCAAGUAUGUAUAUGGUAGCCAUGAGUUCACAAACAAUGCAUUAACAUGAUAAUUGCAAAUUCAGUUCAGGUUCUAAUAGAUAGGGAAUGGCACCAGAUUAGCGAGUUUCGAAUCAAAGCAAUAUAGU
rnacentral:sRNA from 1 species